rnacentral:tRNA from 1 species
UCCCAGGUGGCUUAGUGGUAAAGAAUCUGCCUGCAAUUCAGGAGAUCCAGGUUCGAUCCCUGGGUGGAGAA